UCAGAACGAACGCUGGCGGCAGGCCUAACACAUGCAAGUCGAGGGAGAAGCACUUCGGUGGGACCGGCGCACGGGUGCGUAACACGUGGGAAUCUACACUGAGGUAUGGGACAACGCAUGGAAACGUGUGCUAAUACCAUAUAAUAGCUCCGGCUCAAAGCUCCGGCGCCUCAGGAUGAGCCCGCGUCUGAUUAGGUAGUUGGUAGGGUAAAGGCCUACCAAGCCGACGAUCAGUAGAUGGGCUGAGAGGAUGAUCAUCCACACUGGUACUGAGACAUGGAUCAAACUCUUACGGGAGGCAGCAGUGAGGAAUAUUGCGCAAUGGAGGAAACUCUGACGCAGCCAUGCCGCGUGUGUGAAGAAGGCCUUAGGGUUGUAAAGCACUUUCAGAUGUGAGGAUAAUGACGGUAGCAUCAGAAGAAGCUCCGGCUAAAUUCGUGCCAGCAGCCGCGGUAAUACGAAUGGGGCAAGCGGUGUUCGGAAUCACUGGGCGUAAAGCGUACGUAGGCGGCUAUGAAAGUCAGGAGUGAAAUCCCAGGGCUCAACCCUGGAACUGCUCUUGAAACUCCAUAGCUAGAGACCUGGAGAGGUUGGCGGAAUUCCGAGUGUAGAGGUGAAAUUCGCAGAUAUUCGGAGGAACACCAGUGGCGAAGGCGGUCAACUGGACGGGUACUGACGCUGAGGUACGAAAGCGUGGGGAGCAAACAGGAUUAGAUACCCUGGUAGUCCACGCCGUAAACGAUGUAUGCUAUUGUUGGGAGUCUUAGGCUCUCAGUGACGGAGAGAAAUCAUUAAGCACACCGCCUGGGGAGUACGGUCGCAAGAUUAAAACUCAAAGGAAUUGACGGGGACCCGCACAAGCGGUGGAGCAUGUUGUUUAAUUCGAAGCAACGCGAAGAACCUUACCCACACUUAACUAUCCUCUUGGGGCUUUCAGAGAUGAUUUCGGUUCGGCCGGGGAGUGAAUAGGUGCUGCAUUGCUGUCGUCAGCUCGUGUCGUGAGAUGUUAGGUUAAGUCCUGCAACGAGCGCAACCCUUAUCGUAUGUUGCCAUCAUUUAGUUGGGAACUCAUGCGAGACUGCCGGUGACAAGCCGGAGGAAGGCGGGGACGACGUCAAGUCAUCAUGGCCCUUACGUGUGGGGCUACAAACGUGCUACAAUGGUAACGACAAUGGGCAGCCACUUCGCAAGAAGGCGCUAAUCUCCAAACGUUAUCUCAGUUCGGAUUGUUCUCUGCAACUCGAGAGCAUGAAGUUGGAAUCGCUAGUAAUCGUGCAUCAGCAUUCACGGUGAAUACGUUCCCGGGUCUUGUACACACCGCCCGUCACAUCAUGGGAGUUGGUUCUGCCCGAAGGCCGUGCGCUAACCUUUUAGGUAGCGGACCACGGUAGGAUCAGCGACUGGGAUG
rnacentral:rRNA from 1 species